GGAAGUGGGUGGUGAGGGCCGCUCUGGGCUCAGCGUUCCCCACCUGGAAUGCGUCCUGGCUUCGGCUGGCCCGGCCCAACCCUCAGCGGCCGCGGUGCCCAGGCCCACUCCUUCCGCGCCUGGAAACGUGAGACGGGUCACUGAGGACGACGUAGGCAAACUUUGCAGAGCACGUUGCCACCUGUUGGAGUAGCCGCUCCAGCCCCAGUCGAAAUGCACGGCCGAACAAUGGCAGUUCUGAGUGGCUCAGGGGCCCACACUUUCUUUAAAACCGAUGCACUCGUAGUAAUAUUUCUUAUGCCCCACAUCCAGAGGCCUGUGCUCACCACCUCAGCAGUGCCCGGGGAGGUUCGCCAGGCGUGGGCAGGCUCUCCCUUGAAAGCACCUGACCUGGUUCUACCUUGCACUGGGGCUGAAUGGUAAUUGGAAUUACAUGGGAAUCUCUUAUUGUAAUGCAUGAACAGAUUUCACAAGAAAAGGGAACAGGACUGGACCGCUGGCUGUUCCUUCUUUGAUCCCAGGCAUGAUUUCAGCUUGUAGAAUAAAUGAGAAAUGCCUGUUGGUUUAAUUAAAAGAACCGCAUUGGCUGUGCUAGCCUGCCUGCCUUCUGGUGCCCAAGCAAGUGUACUGAUAAAGGAAUCAAAAGCUGCACACUCAAUUGUCCCAGGGUUUUCUCAUCUAUCUUGACAGCUUUUGAGAAUAUAAGUCAAUUUCUCAAAAGCGGUUUAUUGUAAGCCUUGAAAUAUCCAGUUUCCUACCUGGUACCUUAAAUCAUUACUUUUUCCGUAGGGAUAACUGGUGAACUAUCUCCAAAAUAUAUCCUUCUUGUCCGUUGACUCAGAUAGCUCAUUGGGAAGAAGCCAGCUGUCUCCUCUGGGAUGCUGGCUGGCCUUUGAGGUGGGCCCUGGAGCUACUGCCUGGGGAUCAAUGUACUACCACAACACAGACUAAAUUCCUGGUCCCUUGGGAUAUACCUCCAGUGUAAGACCUCCAGGAAGGACUCCUGCUAGGCCCAAUCACAGAGACUAGUAGGUGUGGUCAGAAAGCCCGGGGCACAGCCUGAUUGGUCAUUGUACAGGCGCGUUACCACUAAGGCUGAGCUUUAGGAGAAGAGCAAGACAAUAUCAAUGGCUAGUGGGGUUCACAUGAAGGCAAGACAUGGACAGCUGCUCCUUCAUCCGUGUUUUUAUCCCCAAGGAACAGCUUUGUGAAAGUGCUCUGUGCUCUCAAGCUGUUGCCAGCAGGGUCUGUCUCUUCAGCGUGGCUUUUAAGAGGAAAGUGCAGCAAACUGGAGCCUUAGCAAAAGGCUGCUCGCUAGCAUGAGAAGCAUUUGAUUCCAGCUUGGAAACAAGGGGUGGGGCAAAGCCUUUUUACCACCUCCACCCCAUCUCUCCCUCUCUCCCUUUCAGAAAGGCAGAUUUAUCUAGUGGUGCAUCCCUUGCCUUCAUGUCAGAGUGUCAGCUUUGUCAUAUUCCUGACUGUUGUUACUAGAAUUUUUUUAAGAUUUAUUUAUUUUAAGAUGUAUUUAUAGAUACUUUUUGCCUGCACACAUAUCUCUGUGGGGGUGCUCUGGAACUAGAGUAUGUGGGUUGUGGGAAUUGAACCCCAGUCCUCUGGAGGAGCAGCCAGUGUUCUUAAUCACUGAGCCAUCUCUCCAGUCCCAAUUACUGGAAUUUCAUAUGAAAGCAAAACCACGGCAUAAAUCUUAGCAAAUUUGAAUUCCAUACUUUUUACCUUUUUCCAUUCACCAGAGAUGAGAUGCAGGUAUAUUCACGUUAAAACAAAAAUGCAAACAAGUCAGAUAAUUAAAAGGAAAUCCAGAUGAUGCUCUCAAACCUGAAGAAACACUUGUGGAGCCAGAUGGAAGCAGAGUAGAGUUGGACUCUGUCACCAUCCCAAGGGAACGAAGCAUCAUGGGCUCUGAUUUGUUCACUUGUUUCUUUAUGUGCGUAUGUACAGGAAUGUAUACUUGUGCUUGCAUGGAAGUCAGAAGAGAGCAUCCUGUCUCCCUCUCCAUCACUGUCUUCUUCCUCUGAGCCAGGGUCUGUCCCUCAACCCAAGGCUCUUGGUCUUCUUGGUUAGGCUAGAAGGCAGCAAGUCCCAGCAAUCCCCCAGUCUCCGGCCCCUUAAUGGAUCAGUCUGGGGGUGUAGAGUGUCUGUGGGAUCCAAACUUGAGAUCGUAGCAAGCGAUCUUAACUGUUGAGCCCUCUUUCCAACUGCUCCCUGUCUUGACAGCAAGAAAAAUCCCAACAUAUACUCUGAGGUCAUGUUGGAACCAUGUGUUUGGAGACAGCAGAGGUUUGGGACAAUCUUUCCAAUCAGGAUGACUCACAGCUGUGAUCAGGGCUUUCUCUUUUAUCAGCUAUACUAUCAGAAAAGAAGACCCUUGUGAGCACAGUGUCUGCCUCAAGCUCUUCAUCUUUUCCACUGUUACAAAAUCUCUGGGGGAGGAUUACACACAGGAUCAUGAGUCCUGUGUAUGAAAUUAUGAUGACUUAUGAAUGAUUACAUUCAUCACAAUUACUGUGAAUAAAAAAUGUUAUGUUUUAAAGGAACACUGGGGAAAUUAUGAAAAGUGAAUUAAGCCAAGAACAAAAGGACAAAUCCAUAUUGCCUGAUUUGUUUUAUAUGAGGUGCUUAAGUGGUAAAUUCAUGGAGAGAGAGAAACAGAAGGG
rnacentral:lncRNA from 1 species